GCUGAUCGCAUGGCCACGAGCCGGCGACGUUUCUUUCAAGUGUCUGCCUUAUCAACUUUCGAUGGUAGGUUACUUGCUUACCAUGGUUGUUACGGGUAACGGAGAAUCAGGGUUCGAUUCCGGAGAGGGAGCCUGAGAAACGGCUACCACAUCCAAGGAAGGCAGCAGGCGCGCAAAUUACCCACUCCCGGCACGGGGAGGUAGUGACGAAAAAUAACAAUACGGGACUCUUUUGAGGCCCCGUAAUUGAAAUGAGUACACUCUAAAUCCUUUAACGAGGAUCAAUUGGAGGGCAAGUCUGGUGCCAGCAGCCGCGGUAAUUCCAGCUCCAAUAGCGUAUACUAAAGCUGCUGCGGUUAAAAAGCUCGUAGUUGGAUCUCAGUUCCAGACGAGUAGUGCAUCUACCCGAUGCGACGGCUCGGACUGAACAUCAUGCCGGUUCUUUCUUGGUGCACUUCAUUGUGUGCCUCGAGAUGGCCGGUGCUUUUACUUUGAAAAAAUUAGAGUGCUCAACGCAGGCGAGUCGCCUGAAUAAACUUGCAUGGAAUAAUAGAACAAGACCUCGUUCUGUUCUGUUGGUUUUUGGAAUACGAGGUAAUGAUUAAGAGGGACGGACGGGGCAUUCGUAUUGCGGCGCUAGAGGUGAAAUUCUUGGACCGUCGCAAGACGAACUACUGCGAAAGCAUUUGCCAAGAAUGUUUUCAUUGAUCAAGAACGAAAGUCAGAGGUUCGAAGGCGAUCAGAUACCGCCCUAGUUCUGACCAUAAACGAUGCCAACCAGCGAUCCGCCUGAGUUACUCAAAUGACUCGGCGGGCAGCUUCCGGGAAACCAAAGUAUUUGGGUUCCGGGGGAAGUAUGGUUGCAAAGCUGAAACUUAAAGGAAUUGACGGAAGGGCACCACCAGGAGUGGAGCCUGCGGCUUAAUUUGACUCAACACGGGAAAACUUACCCGGCCCGGACACUGGGAGGAUUGACAGAUUGAGAGCUCUUUCUUGAUUCGGUGGAUGGUGGUGCAUGGCCGUUCUUAGUUGGUGGAGCGAUUUGUCUGGUU
rnacentral:rRNA from 1 species